AGUGAACGCUGGCGGUAGGCCUAACACAUGCAAGUCGAACGGCAGCACAGUAAGAGCUUGCUCUUACGGGUGGCGAGUGGCGGACGGGUGAGGAAUACAUCGGGAUCUACUUUUUCGUGGGGGAUAACGUAGGGAAACUUACGCUAAUACCGCAUACGACCUACGGGUGAAAGUAGGGGAUCUUCGGACCUUGCGCGAUUGAAUGAGCCGAUGUCGGAUUAGCUAGUUGGCGGGGUAAAGGCCCACCAAGGCGACGAUCCGUAGCUGGUCUGAGAGGAUGAUCAGCCACACUGGAAAUGAGACACGGUCCAGACUCCUACGGGAGGCAGCAGUGGGGAAUAUUGGACAAUGGGCGCAAGCCUGAUCCAGCCAUACCGCGUGGGUGAAGAAGGCCUUCGGGUUGUAAAGCCCUUUUGUUGGGAAAGAAAAGCAGCAGGUUAAUACCCCGCUGUUCUGACGGUACCCAAAGAAUAAGCACCGGCUAACUUCGUG
rnacentral:rRNA from 1 species